rnacentral:rRNA from 1 species
GAUGAACGCUAGCGAUAGGCUUAACACAUGCAAGUCGAGGGGCAGCAUGAUCUUAGCUUGCUAAGGUCGAUGGCGACCGGCGCACGGGUGCGUAACGCGUAUGCAACUUGCCUUACAGAGGGGGAUAACCCGUUGAAAGACGGACUAAAACCGCAUACACUUGUAUUAUUGCAUGAUAUUACAAGGAAAUAUUUAUAGCUGUAAGAUAGGCAUGCGUCCCAUUAGCUGGUUGGUGAGGUAACGGCUCACCAAGGCGACGAUGGGUAGGGGAACUGAGAGGUUUAUCCCCCACACUGGUACUGAGACACGGACCAGACUCCUACGGGAGGCAGCAGUGAGGAAUAUUGGUCAAUGGGCGAGAGCCUGAACCAGCCAAGUCGCGUGAAGGAAGACAGUCCUAAGGAUUGUAAACUUCUUUUAUACGGGAAUAACGGGCGAUACGAGUAUUGCAUUGAAUGUACCGUAAGAAUAAGCAUCGGCUAACUCCGUGCCAGCAGCCGCGGUAAUACGGAGGAUGCGAGCGUUAUCCGGAUUUAUUGGGCUUAAAGGGUGCGUAGGUUGUUCGGUAAGUCAGCGGUGAAACCUGAGCGCUCAACGUUCAGCCUGCCGUUGAAACUGCCGGGCUUGAGUUCAGUGGCGGCAGGCGGAAUUCGUGGUGUAGCGGUGAAAUGCAUAGAUAUCACGAGGAACUCCGAUUGCGAAGGCAGCUUGCCAUACUGCGACUGACACUGAAGCACGAAGGCGUGGGUAUCAAACAGG